rnacentral:rRNA from 1 species
UACGUAGGGGGCUAGCGUUGUCCGGAAUCAUUGGGCGUAAAGAGCGCGUAGGCGGCCAGAUAAGUCCGGUGUGAAAGUCACAGGCUCAACCUGUGAAUGCCGCUGGAAACUGUCUGGCUAGAGUCCGGAAGGGGCGAGUGGAAUUCCUGGUGUAGCGGUGAAAUGCGCAGAUAUCAGGAGGAACACCAAUGGCGAAGGCAGCUCGCUGGAACGGUACUGACGCUGAGGCGCGAAGGCCAGGGGAGCAAACGGG